UAAUACGUAGGGGGCAAGCGUUAUCCGGAAUCACUGGGCGUAAAGGGAGCGUAGGCGGUUUGACAAGCCAGAGGUGAAAGGCAAUAGCUUAACUAUUGUAAGCCUUUGGAACUGUCGAACUUGAGUGUAGGAGAGGAAAGUGGAAUUCCUAGUGUAGCGGUGAAAUGCGUAGAUAUUAGGAGGAACACCAGUGGCGAAGGCGACUUUCUGGACUAUAACUGACGCUGAGGCUCGAAAGCGUGGGGAGCAAACAGG
rnacentral:rRNA from 1 species